UCGCUCUGUUCACCUUCCACUUUCCUCUUUUUAUAGCCUUCUUUUUUCUCCGACGAGCCCUGUCUACCUUUGCUGCUGCUACGGCUCCUUGAUGGGCGUUGAUCCUGUUUUAACAAAUUUUCAUCACCUGAAUCCGACUUAUCGUGCUUUCUCCCGCUGGUUUUGCUCCUGUUUACCAAGUUCCUGUUCGUCCUGGUUCCUGCAAGAGAAUAUGGACGACGAUGCUUCAGAUCUAUUUUGGAUGGUCGGGAAUUUACCUGACUUCUCUGGUCGGGCGACAGUGUCAUGGCGUAUCCGCUUUGCAUCGGGUUCACCAUUGUUGAUGCCUUUAUUUGUAGUAGAAACCAUCAAGUUAAUUACAAUCAAG
rnacentral:lncRNA from 1 species